rnacentral:rRNA from 1 species
GGUUGACCUCGGAUCAGGUAGGGAUACCCGCUGAACUUAAGCAUAUCAAUAAGCGGAGGAAAAGAAACCAACAGGGAUUGCCUUAGUAACGGCGAGUGAAGCGGCAACAGCUCAAAUUUGAAAGCUGGCCCUUUCAGGGUCCGCGUUGUAAUUUGUAGAGGAUGAUUCGGCGAGGGCUCCCGCCUAAGUCCCCUGGAACGGGGCGUCAUAGAGGGUGAGAAUCCCGUAUGCGGUGGGUUGCCUUAGCCAUGUGAAUCUCCUUCGACGAGUCGAGUUGUUUGGGAAUGCAGCUCUAAAUGGGAGGUAAAUUUCUUCUAAAGCUAAAUACCGGCCAGAGACCGAUAGCGCACAAGUAGAGUGAUCGAAAGAUGAAAAGCACUUUGGAAAGAGAGUUAAAAAGUACGUGAAAUUGUUGAAAGGGAAGGGCUCGCAGCCAGACUUGUCCGCAGUUGCUCAGCCGGUCUCCUGACCGGCGUACUCUUCUGCGGCCAGGCCAGCAUCAGUUCAGGCGGUCGGAUAAAGACCUCGGGAAUGUAGCUCCUCUCGGGGAGUGUUAUAGCCCGGGGUGGAAUGCGGCCAGCUUGGACUGAGGAUCUCGCUUCGGCAAGGAUGCUGGCGUAAUGGCUGUGAGCCGCCCGUCUUGAAACACGGACCAAGGAGUCUAACAUCUAUGCGAGUGUUUGGGUGUCAAACCCAUACGCGUAAUGAAAGUGAACGGAGGUGGGAACCCGCAAGGGCGCACCAUCGGCCGAUCCUGAUGUCUUCGGAUGGAUUUGAGCAAGAGCAUAGCUGUUGGGACCCGAAAGAUGGUGAACUAUGCCUGAAUAGGGUGAAGCCAGAGGAAACUCUGGUGGAGGCUCGCAGCGGUUCUGACGUGCAAAUCGAUCGUCAAAUUUGGGUAUAGGGGCGAAAGACUAAUCGAACCAUCUAGUAGCUGGUUCCUGCCGAAGUUUCCCUCAGG